rnacentral:rRNA from 1 species
UACAGAGGGUGCGAGCGUUAAUCGGAAUUACUGGGCGUAAAGCGCGCGUAGGCGGCUUUGCAAGUCGGGUGUGAAAUCCCCAGGCUUAACCUGGGAACUGCAUUCGAGACUGCAUUGCUAGAGUAUGGGAGAGGGUAGUGGAAUUCCCGGUGUAGUGGUGAAAUGCGUAGAUAUCGGGAGGAACACCAGUGGCGAAGGCGACUACCUGGCCUGUUCUUGACGCUGAGGCGCGAAAGCUAGGGGAGCAAACGGG